CGAAGGGGCGUAGCGUUGUUCGGAAUUACUGGGCGUAAAGCGCACGUAGGCGGAUAUUUAAGUUCAGGGGUGGAAAUACCCGCAGCUCAACUGCGGAACUGCCUUUGAUACUGGGUAUCUUGAGUAUGGAAGAGGUAAGUGGAAUUCCGAGUGUAGAGGUGAAAUUCGUAGAUAUUCGGAGGAACACCAGUGGCGAAGGCGGCUUACUGGUCCAUUACUGACGCUGAGGUGCGAAAGCGUGGGGAGCAAACAGGAUU
rnacentral:rRNA from 1 species